CAUCAGAUGACUGAAAGUAAGUAAUGGUCUCUUAAACUAAAAUAUAUUAAGUUAACAUUUACUUCUGAUGG
rnacentral:tRNA from 1 species